UACGGAGGGUCCAAGCGUUAAUCGGAAUCAUUGGGCGUAAAGCGCCUGUAGGUUGUUUAAUAAGUCUGUUGUUAAAGACUAGGGCUCAACCCUAGAAAAGCAAUGGAUACUACUAGACUAGAGUAUGGCAGGGGUAGAGGGAAUUUCUAGUGUAGCGGUGAAAUGCGUAGAUAUUAGAAAGAACACCGGUGGCGAAAGCGCUCUACUGGACCAUUACUGACACUCAGAGGCGAAAGCUAGGGUAGCAAAAGGGAUUAGAUACCCCUGUAGUCCUAGCCGUAAACGAUGGAUACUACAUGUUGUAUUUAUUUUACAGUAUGGUAGCUAACGCGUUAAGUAUCCCGCCUGGGGAGUACGCUCGCAAGGGUG
rnacentral:rRNA from 1 species